rnacentral:rRNA from 1 species
CCUACGGGUGGCAGCAGUGGGGAAUAUUGCACAAUGGGGGGAACCCUGAUGCAGCAAUGCCGCGUGGGUGAAGAAGCACUCCGGUGCGUAAAGCCCUGUCAGCAGGGAAGAAAAUGACAGUACCUGACCAAGAAGCCCCGGCUAACUACGUGCCAGCAGCCGCGGUAAUACGUAGGGGGCAAGCGUUAUCCGGAUUUACUGGGUGUAAAGGGAGCGCAGGCGGUAUGGCAAGUCAGAUGUGAAAACCCAGGGCCCAACCCUGGGACUGCAUUUGAAACUGCCAUACUGGAGUGCCGGAGAGGUAAGUGGAAUUCCUAGUGUAGCGGUGAAAUGCGUAGAUAUUAGGAGGAACACCGAUUGCGAAGGCAGCGUACCGGCGCCAGACUGACGCUGAGGCACGAAAGCGUGGGGAUCGAACAGGAUUAGAUACCCGAGUAGUC